rnacentral:rRNA from 1 species
CCUACGGGUGGCAGCAGUGGGGAAUAUUGCACAAUGGGGGAAACCCUGAUGCAGCGACGCCGCGUGAGUGAAGAAGUAUCUCGGUAUGUAAAGCUCUAUCAGCAGGGAAGAAGAAAGACGGUACCUGACUAAGUAGCACCGGCUAACUACGUGCCAGCAGCCGCGGUAAUUCGGAGGGGGCAAGCGUUAUCCGGAUUUACUGGGUGUAAAGGGAGCGUAGACGGCUGUGCAAGUCUGAAGUGAAAGCCCAGGGCUCAACCCUGGGACUGCGUUGGAAACUGUGGAGCUAGAGUGCUGGGGAGGUAGGUGGAAUUCGUAGUGUAGCGGUGAAAUGCGUAGAUAUUAGGAAGAACACCGGUGGCGAAGGCAGCUUACUGGACAGUAACUGACGUUGAGGCUCGAAAGCGUGGGGAGCGAACAGGAUUAGAUACCCUAGUAGUC